rnacentral:misc_RNA from 1 species
ACAAACUUGGUCAUUUAGAGGAAGUAAAAGUCGUAACAAGGUUUCCGUAGGUGAACCUGCGGAAGGAUCAUUAGUGAAUAAACAGGUGGACUGUUGCUGGUCUCUUUGGAGGCAUGUGCACGUUUGCCAUUGUUUCAUUCAUCCCCUGUGCACUAUUUGUAGGCUAGCCUGCUGUUCUUUUCAAGUUCUUUGAACUUGGUUUGGGAAGCCCUCCUGUUCUCUGGAGGCCUUUCUGAGGUGGUGCUGGUCUAUGUCUUUAUCUACACUGCAUGUAAUUGAAUGUUUGUUGUGAGCCCUAUGUGCUCAAUAAACCUUAUACAACUUUCAACAACGGAUCUCUUGGCUCUCGCAUCGAUGAAGAACGCAGC